GAUGAACGCUGGCGGCGUGCCUAAUACAUGCAAGUCGUGCGAACAGACGAGGAGCUUGCUCCUCUGACGUUAGCGGCGGACGGGUGAGUAACACGUGGAUAACCUACCUAUAAGACUGGGAUAACUUCGGGAAACCGGAGCUAAUACCGGAUAAUAUAUUGAACCGCAUGGUUCAAUAGUGAAAGACGGUUUUGCUGUCACUUAUAGAUGGAUCCGCGCCGCAUUAGCUAGUUGGUAAGGUAACGGCUUACCAAGGCAACGAUGCGUAGCCGACCUGAGAGGGUGAUCGGCCACACUGGAACUGAGACACGGUCCAGACUCCUACGGGAGGCAGCAGUAGGGAAUCUUCCGCAAUGGGCGAAAGCCUGACGGAGCAACGCCGCGUGAGUGAUGAAGGUCUUCGGAUCGUAAAACUCUGUUAUUAGGGAAGAACAAAUGUGUAAGUAACCAUGCACGUCUUGACGGUACCUAAUCAGAAAGCCACGGCUAACUACGUG
rnacentral:rRNA from 1 species